UUUAUUGGAGAGUUUGAUCCUGGCUCAGGAUGAACGCUGGCGGCGUGCCUAAUACAUGCAAGUCGAGCGAAUGGAUUAAGAGCUUGCUCUUAUGAAGUUAGCGGCGGACGGGUGAGUAACACGUGGGUAACCUGCCCAUAAGACUGGGAUAACUCCGGGAAACCGAGGCUAAUACCGGAUAACAUUUUGAACUGCAUGGUUCGAAAUUGAAAGGCGGCUUCGGCUGUCACUUAUGGAUGGACCCGCGUCGCAUUAGCUAGUUGGUGAGGUAACGGCUCACCAAGGCAACGAUGCGUAGCCGACCUGAGAGGGUGAUCGGCCACACUGGGACUGAGACACGGCCCAGACUCCUACGGGAGGCAGCAGUAGGGAAUCUUCCGCAAUGGACGAAAGUCUGACGGAGCAACGCCGCGUGAGUGAUGAAGGCUUUCGGGUCGUAAAACUCUGUUGUUAGGGAAGAACAAGUGCUAGUUGAACAAGCUGGCACCUUGACGGUACCUAACCAGAAAGCCACGGCUAACUACGUGCCAGCAGCCGCGGUAAUACGUAGGUGGCAAGCGUUAUCCGGAAUUAUUGGGCGUAAAG
rnacentral:rRNA from 1 species